GGCGCAUUCGUCUAGGGGCCUAGGACGCUACCCUCUCACGGUAGAAACACGGGUUCAAAUCCCGUAUGCGUCACCG
rnacentral:tRNA from 1 species